rnacentral:lncRNA from 1 species
AGCCUCGUCCCAGCCUGCGGCGCGCCUGGCGGGCGUCUCUCUAUAUAUGUUAGCACACCGGCCACCGGCUGACCUUUUCGGUCUGUGACUCCGCGUGGGUGCAGCCCGCAGGAGCUCAUCGGCCUGUGUCACGCACGGGGGCCUCUAGUGCACGGACACGCGCCUCUCCCGCCACCUGCCCACUCCCACCAGACCCCAUCCCUUCCCGCGCCGUGCCCGCGGCGGAAGGCGCCCCUGCAGCGCGUGCAUCCGCGGAGCGGUGGCGACCUCAGCCUGAGCAGAGGAGUUGCAGUGAUUCCUGCCUCGCUUUCAGCGGACUGCGGAGGGAAUCCCCCACCCCACCCCACUGGGGAUAGGGUGGCACGUCGCAGAGUGUCGCAGCUGUACAAAUUUGGAAGCCCACAGCAUCGCCUGACCUCUUGUGCAAUCCCGAACGCUAGCCUGUUCGGGUAACCCUGAGUGGGCUUCUGCAGCCGGUCAUGUCAGCGGCCCCUGCACAUUUGCACCCGCGGUUUCCGCUGUCUGCAGGCUGCAGAGACGGGGGCAUUCCAAACGUGAAAGAGCAAUGAAGGAAAAUGCAGACAGAGCGAGGACGCCGAAAUUUGGCUAAGCUAUUGAGAAGGCUACAAUAUGUGGAAGUGUUUAUCAGAUAUCUGCGCCGAGAGCAUAACUUCCUGUCAGCCCAAAUAGAGGCAAAAAUAUUUUAAAGGCCAAAGAAUAAUCAGAGGGAGAGGAUUUGGAGCUGACCCGCGUUGAGCUGAGUGUUGCUGCACUUUGCGGGGCUGGUUGACUGGUACGGAUGAUUCGGUAGAUGGCAUUCUUCCCUUGGAGUCAGGACUAGAGAAGCAGUGGCGGAUUAGUGAGGAAGGACACCACGCUAUGAUAUUAGGUUGUGGAAGGGGUUUGGUUUGCUUUUGUGGUAAGAAGAAAAAAAUCGAGGUUCCUGCCAGGUUAGGCUGUUAUUAGGACAGGUUGUAGAAGAAUAGGGCUCUGGCCGGCUCUGUUCCAAGGAAGGGAUGCUGUCCAACACACACUCGCGCGCGCACACAUCACCACCAUGCCCAGGAAUGGUUUAUUGUGGAAAUAAUAGGGGGAAAAUGUUCCAGCCCGUUUUAAGCCUUGUCCACCUCACACUGUUUAAAGUAGGCUUACAUAGGCUUUAUAAAUCACACACACGUAUAAAUCACACACACGUAUAAAUCACAUGUAUGAUUUGUAAAUCAUCUAUUAUUGUGUUUAUGUAUGUGUGCAUAUACACACACAGUUUUUCAUGGCUACUCUCUUUUUGCAGCUGAGACCCAUGUGCAGCGACAGGACUUUGCCCCCACCAUAGAGUUUGUCAUGAAUUCUACACGCAGAGGGCUUUGCAGUUCCUUUCAUUCCUUGCUGAAAUCAUCCACUUACAACUCGUUAGCCUCUUUUGGUUCCUAUCAUAAAUGCACGCUCCCAAUUUUCCUUACUCUGUUUUAUUUCGAUAACACUUAUCUCCUUCUAAUAUAUCAUGUAAUUUACUUAGUAUGUUUAGUGUUUAUUAUCUAUAUCUCAGAGAAAUGCAAGCUUCCAGAGGGCAGGAAUCUUUUGUGGGCUUUUGUUGUUGUUGUUGUUAUUGUUGUUCUUUGUCGUAUACCAAGUGCUUGAAGCAGUGUCUGGUGCAAUAAAUGUUCGUUUGCUAAGGGAAUUAAUGAGGCAUACAAGGGUUAUGAGAUAGAUCUUAGAAGGGCCAGACUGGUAGAGUUGGUUGUUUCACUCAGAGUGUCCCAUGUUUCUGUUUGUGAUCUUCUUUUUUGCACAGGUUUGAUCUGUGAUCAAUACUACAUGUUCCAAAUCAAAGUAGUAUUUUACUGCAGAUUUGGAAAACUCACUCUUACUUCUUAAUUUUUAAGUGCUUUUACUUCAAAACCCAUUAGUUUUGGUUUGCAUAGAAAACUGUCCCAUACCUAAAGAAAACUGACUUUGCUCAGAUUAAUGCUAUCACCAGAAUCGUGUUUUAAGAACACAAAUUUGAUCACAUCACUCCCCUGAUUAAACCCUUCUUUGGCUCCUUGUGUUUACAGAAUAAAUUUCAAAUGCCAUAGUAUGAUAUGCAAGACUGCCUAUAAACAGACAUCCUUGCCUCCACUUAUUUCUCUUGUCAUUUAUUGCUCCUCUUCAACUCUCACCCUAUUCCCUGUCACAUUGAAUUCGCCAAGAAGUCACCUUCCAAGAACUCGCCUUGCCUUCUCACAUCUUUGUGACUUUGAACCUGCUGUUUGCAUUGCGUGGGAAGUUUUCCUUCUAUAUUUCCAACCCCUAUUACUUUACACUUAAAUAUCUAAUACUUGGUGCAUAGUAAAUGCCCAGUAAAUAUUUGUUGAGGAAAUAA